rnacentral:rRNA from 1 species
GACGAACGCUGGCGGCGUGCUUAACACAUGCAAGUCGAACGGAAAGGCCCUGCUUUUGUGGGGUGCUCGAGUGGCGAACGGGUGAGUAACACGUGAGUAACCUGCCCUUGACUUUGGGAUAACUUCAGGAAACUGGGGCUAAUACCGGAUAGGAGCUCCUGCUGCAUGGUGGGGGUUGGAAAGUUUCGGCGGUUGGGGAUAGACUCGCGGCUUAUCAGCUUGUUGGUGGGGUAGUGGCUUACCAAGGCUUUGACGGGUAGCCGGCCUGAGAGGGUGACCGGCCACAUUGGGACUGAGAUACGGCACAGACUCCUACGGGAGGCAGAAGUGGGGAAUAUUGCACAAUGGGCGGAAGCCUGAUGCAGCAACGCCGCGUGCGGGAAGACGGCCUUCGGGUGGUAAACCGCUUUCGCCUGUGACGAAGAGUGAGUGACGGUAAUGGGUAAAGAAGCACCGGCUAACUACGUG